ACCGCAAUGAUUACUCUACUUAAAUAUAUAUUUCUGUUUUAUUUGAUGAAGAUUGGAUUUACGUUAGAAGAAAAUGCAAACUCUACAGGUAGUUGGAGAGUAUUGUUUAUUAGUAAAGAUGGGAGUAACACAGAGCCCUAUUCACUACUUAUGUUAAACCAAUCUGAUAGUACUACACCUUUUUGUUCAUCUGAUUAUCAACUUUAUGAUGAGAUUCAGAUUGAUCAUUGUGUAACUACAGAUCUUAUUAACUGGCAACAAAAUCCACCUGAUAAGGUAGCUGUAACUUAUACCAACCAAUAUGGUGAAUUAUUAAACUGCAUGGUUUAUAACAACAGUGAAGUUAAGUUAAAUUCUACGUCGAGAGAAAAAUGGUUUAAUACUUCAUAUAUGAUAGACAGUACAUAUUGGUACAAUAGUUUCGACGUCGUACU